rnacentral:rRNA from 1 species
UACAGAGGGUGCAAGCGUUGUUCGGAAUUAUUGGGCGUAAAGGGAGUGUAGGCGGUUUUUAAGUCUCAUGUGAAAUCUGCGGCUUAGCCUGUCAAAGUGCAUGGGAAACUGGAAAGCUAGAGUGUCGGAGAGGAUAGGGGAAUACCCGGUGUAGAGGUGAAAUUCGUAGAGAGUCGGGUGGAACACCAGUGGCGAAGGCGCCUGUCUGGCUGACAACUGACGCUGAGACUCGAAAGCAUGGGGAGCAAACAGG